AAGUCGAGCGAUAAGCACCUUUCGGGGUGUGGACAGCGGCGGACGGGUGAGUAUCGCGUGGGAACCUACCUAUCAGUACGGAACAACAGUUAGAAAUGACUGCUAAUACCGUAUACGCCCUUUUGGGGAAAGAUUCAUCGCUGAUAGAUGGGCCCGCGUUAGAUUAGCUAGAUGGUGAGGUAAUGGCUCACCAUGGCGACGAUCUAUAGCUGGUUUGAGAGGAUGACCAGCCACACUGGGACUGAGACACGGCCCAGACUCC
rnacentral:rRNA from 2 species